GAUUAAAGCUUCAAAAAAAUUCGAAAAAAUUAUUAAAAUUUAUUAUAAAUGUUGUUUUUUAGGAAUCCAAUAAGAAAUGCGGGUACUACAUUAUUAACUUUCAGUUUUUUCAUCAAUUGUGAAUAUUGAGAUGCUUUUUCCCUGUAUAAACUUAAGUAUUAAAUUUGCAUCACAUAAAAAAAAAAAUCAUAGCAUUAUCAUGGAUAAAAUAUAUAAUUAUACAUGGACUAUAAUAAAGAAUAGACUAAAUCAAUGAAAGAAUGACCAUUAAAAUCUCGUUUUGGCGAAAAACCCUAAUCCG
rnacentral:lncRNA from 1 species